rnacentral:rRNA from 1 species
CCUACGGGAGGCAGCAGUGGGGAAUAUUGGGCAAUGGGCGCAAGCCUGACCCAGCCAUGCCGCGUGAAGGAAGAAGGCUUUCGGGUUGUAAACUUCUUUGACAGGGGAAGAACAGAUGACGGUUCAUUGCAUACAAGCUACGGCUAACUACGAGCCAGCAGCCGCGGUAAUCCGUAGGUGGCAAGCGUUGACCGGAUUUACUGGGUGGAAAGGGUGGGUAGCCGGGAAGGUAAGUCAGAUGUGAAAGCCGGAGGCUCAACCUCCGAAUUGCAUUUGAUACUGUUUAUCUUGAGUACUGGAGAGGCAGACGGAAUUCCUUGUGUAGCGGUGAAAUGCGUAGAGAUAAGGAGGAACACCAGUGGCGAAGGCGGUCUGCUGGACAGCGACUGACGGUGAGGCGCGAAAGCGUGGGGAGCAAACAGGAUUAGAUACCCUUGUAGUC